rnacentral:rRNA from 1 species
CCUACGGGCGGCAGCAGUAGGGAAUCUUUCACAAUGGGCGAAAGCCUGAUGGAGCAACGCCGCGUGCAGGAUGAAGGCCUUCGGGUUGUAAACUGCUUUUAUCAGCGAGAAAUAUGAUGGUAACUUAUGAAUAAGGAUCGGCUAACUACGUGCCAGCAGCCGCGGUCAUACGUAGGAUCCGAGCAUUAUCCGGAGUGACUGGGUGUAAAGAGUUGCGUAGGUGGCAUAAUAAGUAGCUAGUGAAAUCUGGUGGCUCAACCAUUCAGACUAUUAGCUAAACUGUUAAGCUCGAGACCGUUAGGGGUAACUGGAAUUUCUAGUGUAGGAGUGAAAUCCGUAGAUAUUAGAAGGAACACCAAUAGCGUAGGCAGGUUGCUGGGACGGUUCUGACACUAAGGCACGAAAGCGUAGGGAGCAAACGGGAUUAGAUACCCCUGUAGUC